rnacentral:rRNA from 1 species
UACGUAGGGGGCUAGCGUUGUCCGGAAUCAUUGGGCGUAAAGCGCGCGUAGGCGGCCAGAUAAGUCCGGUGUGAAACUCCCCAGGCUUAACCUGGGAACUGCAUCCGAUACUGGAUGGCUUGAAUCCGGGAGAGGGAUGCAGAAUUCCAGGUGUAGCGGUGAAAUGCGUAGAUAUCUGGAGGAAUACCGGUGGCGAAGGCGGCAUCCUGGACCGGCAUUGACGCUGAGGAGCGAAAGCUAGGGGAGCAAACGGG